rnacentral:rRNA from 1 species
UACGUAGGGCGCAAGCGUUGUCCGGAAUUAUUGGGCGUAAAGAGCUCGUAGGCGGUCUGUCGCGUCUGCCGUGAAAACCCGAGGCUUAACCUCGGGCUGGCGGUGGAUACGGGCAGACUAGAGGUAGGUAGGGGAGAAUGGAAUUCCCGGUGUAGCGGUGAAAUGCGUAGAUAUCUGGAGGAACACCGGUGGCGAAGGCGGCAUCCUGGACCAACAUUGACGCUGAGGAGCGAAAGCUAGGGGAGCAAACGGGG